CUUGCUUUUUCGACUGCGCCGGGCUUCCCUUUCGUCAUUUCCACGAUUUUAAAGACGAAUUUCCCGAUUUUUAAGUAGAAUCUCGGCGGCGUUUUCAAGUAGAAUCAGCCGGCUUUUAACUAGAAUUACUCGAUUAAGUAUAAUCUGUCCGACUUAAAAAUGAUGCAGCCCCGGCCCCGCUCGCCUACACGCGUAAAAAUUGAGAAAAUCAACAACUUGUUGCAAGUUGAUAUCGACAGGCGUGAACAAGGUUGUGCGCCCACUAUGAACAGUAUUGUCAACAUGUUGUUACAGCAUUGUUCAACUGUAACAACUUGGAACAACAUGGUUGACAACUUGUUCAUGGUUGACCGCACAACAUUGUUCACGCCUGUCGAUAUCAACUUGCAACAACCUGUGCGUUU